AGUGAAGAUGCUGUGUACCCGCGGCUAGACGGAAAGACCCCGUGAACCUUUACUAUAGCUUCACAGUGGACUUUGAACCUGCUUGUGUAGGAUAGCUGGGAGACUUUGAAGCGGUGACGCUAGUCAUCGUGGAGUCGUCCUUGAAAUACCAGCCUGGCAUGUUUGAGGUUCUAACCUAGGUCCAUUAUCUGGAUCGGGGACAUUGUGUGGUGGGUAGUUUGACUGGGGCGGUCUCCUCCCAAAGAGUAACGGAGGAGCACAAAGGUACCCUCAGCACGGUCGGACAUCGUGCAACGAGCGUAAAGGUAGAAGGGUGCUUGACUGCGAGACCUACAAGUCGAGCAGGUGCGAAAGCAGGUCUUAGUGAUCCGGUGGUUCUGUAUGGAAGGGCCAUCGCUCAACGGAUAAAAGGUACUCCGGGGAUAACAGGCUGAUACCGCCCAAGAGUUCACAUCGACGGCGGUGUUUGGCACCUCGAUGUCGGCUCAUCACAUCCUGGGGCUGAAGCCGGUCCCAAGGGUAUGGCUGUUCGCCAUUUAAAGUGGUACGCGAGCUGGGUUUAGAACGUCGUGAGACAGUUCGGUCCCUAUCUGGUGUGGGCGUUGGAUGAUUGAUGGGAGCUGCUCCUAGUACGAGAGGACCGGAGUGGACGAACCGCUGGUGUUCGGGUUGUCAUGCCAAUGGCAUUGCCCGGUAGCUAUGUUCGGACAGGAUAACCGCUGAAAGCAUCUAAGCGGGAAGCCCCUUCCAAGAUGAGAUCUCCCCGGGCCCUCGAGGCCCCUGAAGAGCCGUUCAAGACCAGGACGUUGAUAGGUCGGG
rnacentral:rRNA from 12 species